rnacentral:rRNA from 1 species
GACGAACGCUGGCGGCAUGCUUAACACAUGCAAGUCGAACGGAAAGGCCCUGCUUACAGGGUACUCGAGUGGCGAACGGGUGAGUAACACGUGGGUGAUCUGCCCUGCACUUCGGGAUAAGCCUGGGAAACUGGGUCUAAUACCGGAUAUGACCUUCCAUGUAGUGUGGGGGGUGGAAAGAUUUAUCGGUGUGGGUUGAGCCCGCGGCCUAUCAGCUUGUUGGUGGGGUAAUGGCCUACCAAGGCGUCGACGGGUAGCCGGCCUGAGAGGGUGGACGGCCACAUUGGGACUGAGAUACGGCCCAGACUCCUACGGGAGGCAGCAGUGGGGAAUAUUGCACAAUGGGCGGAAGCCUGAUGCAGCGACGCCGCGUGGGGGAUGACGGCCUUCGGGUUGUAAACCUCUUUCGACAGGGACGAAGCUUCGGUGACGGUACCUGUAUAAGAAGCACCGGCUAACUACGUG